rnacentral:rRNA from 1 species
UGUAGUCUGCAACUCGACUACAUGAAGCUGGAAUCGCUAGUAAUCGCGAAUCAGAAUGUCGCGGUGAAUACGUUCCCGGGUCUUGUACACACCGCCCGUCACACCAUGGGAGUCAGCAACGCCCGAAGCCGGUGACCCAACCGAAAGGAGGGAGCCGUCGAAGGUGGGGCCGAUAACUGGGGUGAAGUCGUAACAAGGUACC